rnacentral:rRNA from 1 species
UACAGAGGGGGCAAGCGUUAAUCGGAAUUACUGGGCGUAAAGCGCGCGUAGGCGGCUUUGCAAGUCGGGUGUGAAAUCCCCAGGCUUAACCUGGGAACUGCAUUCGAGACUGCAUUGCUAGAGUAUGGGAGAGGGAAGUGGAAUUUCCGGUGUAGCGGUGAAAUGCGUAGAUAUCGGAAGGAACAUCAGUGGCGAAAGCACUCUGCUGGGCCGACACUGACACUGAGAGACGAAAGCUAGGGGAGCAAAUGGG